rnacentral:rRNA from 1 species
GAUGAACGCUGGCGGCGUGCCUAAUACAUGCAAGUCGAACGCUGGAGAUCUAGCUUGCUAGAUCGAAGGAGUGGCGAACGGGUGAGUAAUACAUAAGCAACCUACCCACGAAGACUGGGAUAAUCUCUGGAAACGGGGACUAAUACCGGAUAGGUAAUCGGAAGGCAUCUUCUGGUUAUUAAAGGUUAAAAACACUGGUGGAUGGGCUUAUGGCGCAUUAGUUAGUUGGUGAGGUAACGGCCCACCAAGACGAUGAUGCGUAGCCGGCCUGAGAGGGUGAACGGCCACAUUGGGACUGAGACACGGCCCAGACUCCUACGGGAGGCAGCAGUAGGGAAUUUUCGGCAAUGGGGGCAACCCUGACCGAGCAACGCCGCGGGAGUGAAGACGGCCUUCGGGUUGUAAAGCUCUGUUGUAAGGGAAGAACGGUAGAUAGAGAAUAUCUAAGUGACGGUACCUUACCAGAAAGCCACGGCUAACUACGUG